rnacentral:rRNA from 1 species
AUUGAACGCUGGCGGCAGGCCUAACACAUGCAAGUCGAGCGAGCGGCGGACGGGUGAGUAAUGUCUGGGAAUUGCCCUGUCGAGGGGGAUAACAGUUGGAAACGACUGCUAAAACCGCAUACGCUUGGAUUGCCUAGGUGGGAUUGGCUAGUUGGUGGGGUAAUGGCUCACCAAGGCGACGAUCCCUAGCUGGUCUGAGAGGAUGAUGAGCCACACUGGAACUGAGACACGGUCCAGACUCCUACGGGAGGCAGCAGGGGGGAAUAUUGGACAAGGGGGGAAACCCUGAUGCAGCCAUGCGGCGUGUGUGAAGAAGGCCUUCGGUUUGUAAAGCACUUUCAGCGAGGAGGCGUUACUCGCAGAAGAAGCACCGGCUAACUCCGUGCCAGCAGCCGCGGUAAUUC